rnacentral:rRNA from 1 species
AUUGAACGCUGGCGGCAGGCUUAACACAUGCAAGUCGAGCGGAGCGCGGGUGCUUGCACCUUAGCUUAGCGGCGGACGGGUGAGUAAUGCUUAGGAAUCUGCCUAUUAGUGGGGGGCAACAUUCCGAAAGGAAUGCUAAUACCGCAUACGCCCUACGGGGGACAGCAGGGGAUCUUCGGACCUGGCGCUAAGAGAUGAGCCUAAGUCGGAUUAGCUAGUUGGUGGGGUGAGGGGCUACCAAGGCGACGAUCUGUAGCGGGUCUGAGAGGAUGAUCCGCCACACUGGGACUGAGACACGGCCCAGACUCCUACGGGAGGCAGCAGUGGGGAAUAUUGGACAAUGGGCGGAAGCCUGAUCCAGCCAUGCCGCGUGUGUGAAGAAGGCCUUUUGGUUGUAAAGCACUUUAAGCGAGGAGGAGGCUACUUAGAUUAAUACUCUGGGAUAGUGGACGUUACUCGCAGAAUAAGCACCGGCUAACUCUGUGCCAGCCGCCGCGGUAAAAC